rnacentral:rRNA from 1 species
CCUACGGGCGGCAGCAGUGAGGAAUAUUGGUCAAUGGGCGCGAGCCUGAACCAGCCAAGUCGCGUGAGGGAUGACGGUCCUACGGAUUGUAAACCUCUUUUGCCGGGGAGCAAGCGUGCGUUCGUGAACGCGCGUCGAGAGUACCCGGAGAAAAAGCAUCGGCUAACUCCGUGCCAGCAGCCGCGGUAAUACGGAGGAUGCGAGCGUUAUCCGGAUUUAUUGGGUUUAAAGGGAGCGUAGGUGGAUUGUUAAGUCAGUUGUGAAAGUUUGCGGCUCAACCGUAAAAUUGCAGUUGAAACUGGCAGUCUUGAGUACAGUAGAGGUGGGCGGAAUUCGUGGUGUAGCGGUGAAAUGCUUAGAUAUCACGAAGAACUCCGAUUGCGAAGGCAGCUCACUGGACUGCAACUGACACUGAGGCUCGAAAGUGUGGGUAGCAAACAGGAUUAGAUACCCCGGUAGUC